rnacentral:misc_RNA from 1 species
UAACAUGAUUUGCUGACUUAUUAUAUAGGACCCUGCUCUUUCUCUGCCUAAUUUUGCUUGUUAUCUAAAUCAGAACAUCGACUAAGUUAAAGUAUUUAUGCGUGUGUGUUUAGUUUUAUGUAUGGUCCAAGAACAGAAUGAAUAAGUAUUGAGAAACUAGUUUUUUUAACGAAAAUUUCUUUUGGUAUAAGGAUUUAGUCUGUUUGUUCCCCUUUGUUUUUG